rnacentral:lncRNA from 1 species
AUAUAAUUUGUUGUAUGCCUUCUUUCCUUUCUGGGCAGAAGGCACUUGUGGACAAAUUCAAAAAGCACUUUAUGCUCUGGCCUCAUUUCACUUUUCUGGACUGCCCUGGCCUCAGGCACCUCUUCAGAUGUGUUGGUGUCACAAAAAUUCCUUGUUAUUUGCAGCUCAGAAGGCAACCCAUCCAAGAAAAGCCACCUCUACCUGGUAUAAUCAUCUAACCCCUCACUAUGAAUACCAAGAAUUUUUCCCAAAUUUUUAGCGUUGAAUUUCACUUUGACACCCCUCACUUUACUGGUUACCAGACCAUUCUUCACCUUUCCAUUGGCCAUGAACUCCACUAGUUCCUUGCUUGCCAAUUUUCCAUCAAUCUUAAGGACCAUGUCCUUCCAGUCUUGUGCCUUUAGUGCUGUGACAAGCCUUAUCAUGCCUGGCUCCUCCAGGUCAUUCAGCAAUCUCCCCUUCAAUAUCUUUCUUUUGUCAAAGUUUUCAUACCUAUUCUAUUCUUCUUCAGACUCAAUUUCAUCAUCAUCUUCUUCUAUGGCUGCUUUCACUUGUUUUCCCUAAGACGUUGAUCUUGUUCUCUUGGCAAGAGAGGAUUCAGCAGGAACUGAUUUUGAGGGAUUCUUUGAAGAAGUCCUAGUGUAUUUUGGUUUUGCAAGUGGAACCCGCACAAUUGUAUUUCUUUCUUGAUGGACUAGUUCCAUCUCCUCUUCAUCCUCCUCAGCUAGAACUUCUGAACUCUCACAUAUCUUCCCUUUCCCUUUUUCUUUUCUUUUUCUCUUGCUCUCAUCUAAAGCUUUCUGCAACUCAGUUUCACUCUCCCUAACCUUGGUUCUAGUUGUCCAAACCCUUGGAACAGUCUUGGGUGUUGAAGGUUUUCUUGGUUGGUAUGGACGCAACAUGGGUUCUUUGUGAGGAAGCCAUGAGUUUCUUGGGAUCAUAAUUGGCCCCAAACUUCUUCAUCAUCGCAAAUAGAGUUUCCUCUACAGAUAGACCAGGUUCAACAGUUUGUUUACUCAAACCAACUAACCCUUCAGCAGCUUCUCCAGACUCUCUUCUCCCUGACUUCGAGGCCCCUUCUUCCCCACUCCCACAUAUAGCUAGCACAUUCUUCCUCUUAUUUUUCUUCAAUUUCACAGAAUCACCCAUAGCAACAUCAUUAAUAGCCCCUAUCAGAACAUACCUAUUUUCUACCAUUUCCCUUAAGUCAUCAUAGACAACACUUGGAUUUACAUCUUUUGGGGUUUCUUGAUGAGUGACAUUGUCAGAAGGCCCAGGUUCAUCUCCUUCACUGGCAGAGAUGUAAUCAUCAGACUCAAAACUGGAAUCAGUUUCUUUUGCUGGAGAUUCUUUCUUUUGACUUGCCUUCAAUCUUUCGUUUAGAGCUUUCCUCAAGGGACCAAUUGCAACAACUUUUUUUGCUAUCAAUUUUGGGCGACGGAAUCUGGGCUUUGUGGUCUUACUAGAAGGUGUGAAUGAUGAGGUGGUGUUAGGUGACACAGGUGGUGGGGUUCCAGGAUUAUCUUGGGGAUUCGACAUUUUUGGUGAAGAAUUUCUGUAAGGCUUGAGAGAAUUUUGGACAACUUUUUAGGGUUUGGAGAAGAGAGUGGAUGAUCAGGGUUUUGAGAUGACGGUUAAAAAUGAUUACUGCGAUUUUUAAAGAGUGGUCACUAUAGCUCUAGGAACGACAUCUUAUCAGGUGUCACCAGAGGUCUAAUCUGCUUAUAGUUCCGGUCUCUGUAGUUAUUUAUUAGGAUUAAAUAGAAUUUCUUAGGUUUAGGAGAUAGAGUUCCGUUACACUUAGAAUUCUAAUUUCAAUAAAACUGGUUUAAUUAGCCCCAACGGAUAGAAUUUUAGAGACGAUUGGGUUUUCUAGGACUCUUGCUCAUGGUUGAAAAUUAAGUUUUUCUAUUUGUGCAAAGUAUAGAAACAUACAUGGCGAUUCUCAUGAGCAUGCAUUGAUGAACCAGGUUCUUCAAAUGAAAUUUCUCUUGAUUUUGCCUCAAAUGUUAGAAUAGAGAAUUUGUAAGAGAUGAAUGAGUCACAUAAACACAUGUCACAGGAGUAUAUUAUUUACACUAUGAGACUGAGUAGAAAUUAGUCUAAUAUUCACAAGAAUUAAAUACUCCUAACCAAUUUUUUUUUCAUUAUGCAUUCUGACAUGACAUUUUAGGUGAUCUUAAUCAUCACUAAUUCCAAUAUGUUCCUCUCAAAGUUUUCUCUACUUAGUGCCUUGGUGAAGAUAUCAUCUAUUUGGUUAUUAGUGGCACAGAAUUCUAUGGAGAUUAGCCCUUUUUCAUAGUUGUCUCUUAAGAAGUGGUGUCUAACAUCUAUGUGCUUGGUCCUUUUAUGACGAACAAGGUUCUUUGUCAUACUGAUUGCACUAGUGUUAUCACAAAAUAUAGGUAUGCAUCCCACUUCAAUUUCAAAAUCUACCAACUGUUGCAACUAGUGUUAUCACAGAAUAUAGGUAUGCAUCCCACUUCAAUUCCAAAAUCUACCAAUUGGUUCUUGAUCCAAAGCAACUGAGCACAACAUGAAGCAGCAGCGACAUACUCAGCUUAAGUAGUAGAGAGGGCCACUGAAUUUUGCUUUUUUGUAGCCCUUGAUACAAGACAAGAUCCUAGGAAGUGUUCCAUACCUGAAGUGCCUUUUUAUCCACCAUAUAACCUGCAUAAUCAGCAUCAGCAUAUCCAAUUAAGUCAAAAUUGCUACCUUUGGGAUACCUCAAGCACAAAUCAGUUUUGCCUUUUAGGUAUCUUAAUAUUCUUUUGACUGUAGUCAUGCGUGACUCCUUUCGAUUUUCCUGGAAACGAGCACAAAGUCCUACACUGAAAACAAUAUUGGGUCUGCUGGCAGUAAAGUACAAAAGUGAACCAAUCAUACCCUGUACAACUUUUGAUCAACUGAUGAACCAGGUUCAUCAGCAUCUAACUUUGUGGCAGUUGCAAUAGGAGUAUAUAUUUCUUUGCAUUCACAUUUUAAAUUUCUUGAUUAGUUCUUUUGUGUACUUCUGCUGAUGAAUCAUGGUACAGUUUGGACUUCGUUUGAUUUGCAAUCCUUAGAAGAAAUUGAGUUCUCCCAUCAUACUCAUUUCAAAUUCACUACCCAUUAGUUUUGCAAAGUCCUUGCUCAACCCCUCUGUAGUUGCCCCAAAAAUUAUGUCAUCGACAUAGAUUUGUACAACAAGAAGGUCUUUACCUUUUUCCCUUAGAAACAAGGUAUCAUCAAUUUUACCUCUUUUGUACCCAUGCUCCAGAAGGAAUUUUGACAAUCUUUCAUCCCAAGCUCUUGGAGCUUGCUUGAGACCAUAAAGAGCCUUAUCCAGCUUGUAUACAUUGUCCGAACAUUCUUUGCUUUCGAAUCCAGGAGGUUUCUUCACAACCACUUCUUCUUUGAGAAAGCCAUCUAGGAAGGAACUUUUCAAAUCCAUUUGAUGAAGAAUGAAUUCCAUAUGUGCUGCAAAGGCUAUGAGAAGUCUAAUUGCUUCAAAUCUAGCAACUGGAGCAAAAGUCUCAUCAUAAUCGAUGCCUUCCUUAUGACUAUUACAUUCAACCACCAACCUUGCCUUAUUUCUUGUAACUGUUCCAUCUCCAUCCAACUUGUUUCUGAAGACCCAUUUUGUCUCGAUGACUGACCUGUCCUUAGGUUUUGGAACCAAGUGCCAGACUUGGCUUUAUUCAAACUGAUUGAGUUCUUCUUGCAUAUCAUUGAUCCAAUCUGCAUCUUGUAGAGCUUCACUCACAUUUUUAGGUGACAAAAAGGAAUCAAAUGCACACAGGUUCUUUAGUUGUGAUCUAGUUUUGACUCCAGAUGUGGGAUCAUUGAUUAUGUUCUCAAUGGGGUGAGAACUCAGGUAC